GAGGCUGCAGUGAGCCAUGAUCACACCACUGCACUCCAGCCUGGAGAUAGAGCAAGACUGUGUAUCAAAAAAAUUUUAAAAAGAGAAAAGAAACAUUGCACUAUACAAAUACCACACUCAUGCAAAAUUUUAAUAAUAGGAGAAGCAGUGCAGGGGAAGGGGGAUAUGGAAAUUCUACUAUCUGAUUUUCUGUAAAUCUAAAACUGUUUUUAAAAUGGAAGUCUAUUAUUUAUUUUAUUUAUUUUUUUGAG
rnacentral:lncRNA from 1 species